AUGUGUGUGUGUGUGUGUGUGUGUGUGUGUGUGUGUGAGUCUGUGAGUGUCUCCAGCCAGGACCAAGCAGCAGCCCAGGCUGGGUUGCUAGGAGGCUUUGGGGCUCCCCCUUCCAAUCCUGGGGGGCUGCAGGGAGGAGGAAGAGGAUGGGGGGGGCAGAAGAAGAAAAAGAACUGCUCCUCUUCUUCCUUGGCUCUCUCUCUUCCCUCCCCCCCACCCCCCCAGGGCUCAGGGGUGGAGGGUGGCAAGUGGGCCUGUCCUGCCCUGCAUCCUCCCCACCCUCACCCCCCCCCCCCAAUUCAAGGUGGAAGUGGGGGGGGGGGGCUCCAACUGGGUGGGGGGGGGGGGCUGGUCCUUGGGAAAAAAAAAGAGCAAUCAAAGGAGGCCCCCCCCAGCCUGCCUCUCUCCCCUCCUCCUCCUCAUCCUCCUCCUCUGCUGCUGCUGCUGCAAGGGGGGGUGGGGGGGUGGGGGGGGGAAAGGGAGGGGAGGGGGGAGAGACAGGAGAGACAGGAGAGACAGGAGGGAGAGACAGGAGAGAGAGACAGGAGGAGGAGGUGGGGGGGGGGCUGGGCUGGAGGAGAGGGGAGGCGCCCACUGCGCAUGUCCCUCCCUGCCGGCCCGCUGAUUGGUGGAGGGCCGGGGGCGCGGGGGCGGGGGAGGAGGGGGAGGGAGGCCGCGCGCGCGCGCGCGCGCGCCCCGGGGGCGGGCGGGGAGGGGGGGGGGAGGAGGCGGUUACCCAGCGGCCGCCGCGGCCGCCCCGACCCGGAAGGCCCCCGGCCGGCUGCGCGCGCCGCGCGCCGGGCGGAAGGGGCGCGGCACGUGGGCGCGCGGGGCAGGCCGGGAGCGGGCGGGAGCCUGAGGCGGAGGGAGGAGGGAGGGAGGACGACGACGACGACGACGACGACGACGACGACGAGCGGUAGGCGCACAGCGCUUCGUGGAGGGGGGGGAGGGAGGGAGGGAGGGCCGGCCCCGCGCGGGGCCCCACGGGCGGCGGGAAACUGA
rnacentral:lncRNA from 1 species